ACUUGGUUAGGGACAGAAGCUGCUGUGGAAACACUGGCAGGAGAUGGGCUGGCUGGUCAUGUUAUCCCUUAUUAGAUCUUCACCUUUUCCUCCUCUGCUUUCCCAGUAACAGCUUAUUUUUUUUUUUCCCAGCUCUCCCUGGGUGACCAAGUCAGAUUAUUACUGAAAUAAACAUUGACUGAAUUAAUGUGAGAUGAGGAACGAACCGAAGUCAAUUGAAAGGAAGAGGAAUCUGAACAUUGGGGGAAAUACAGAGCAAGGCAGGUGUCCACCUACAGCCAUCUGAAAGGGAAAACUCCAUUUACUCAAGAAAAAUUCCUUCAGUUUUGCCUCAUGUGUGUGCACUCGUGAACAGGUUGGGAUUACUGUUUACCCUUAGUGCAGCAGCUGGAUCAGCUCCCUGUUAACGCAGGUAGAAGCCACACUUUAAAAGCUUAAAAUAUCUAGUUCUGUUUUGCCUGCGUUCCCAGAGAGGAGGUUUUAUUGCUCCAAAGUCUCUGGGUUUAUGGGAAGCCGUGGUUCGUCAGGAAAAGGCAAUUUGCAGGGAGAACAGGCCAUGCAAUUUAAUGGUAAAUAGUGAUACAGUAAACUAAUUAUUAUAAAGAACUAACUCUUCUUCAAUAUAAUUACUUUUUUUUAAUUAUUUAUUUCAGAGGAGAGCAAAGAGCCCAAUUGGAUGAAGGGAAAACCAAGCCUGGGAAAGGGAAGGGGCGUUUUGUCUGUGGUGCUUCAAACCUGGAGCUCCAAAGUUGGAGCAGAACAUUGGGUCCCUGCUCCACGUGUGUCUGCCAGACUGGGACCUGGGGACAUCCUUACUCCUCUUCCUCACCCGUUUCUCUCAAUUUCUGGCAAAUGCAAAUGUAUCAUCACAACACUGAAUGAAGAGUCAAGGAAAGGAUUGUCAGUAGGAAGCUGGACACGCUGAAGAUGUUCAAGACUGAUAGACCAGAACCUCUUGCAUCCAUACCUGUGACAAAUGAAAAAGUAAGGACUCAAUCCCUGCAAGGACAAGCUGUGACAACUUCUGGGUGUCAACUGCAAACUCGGUAAUGAUUCAUAAGGCAGAGACGUGCCUCUUUAUGCCGCGGAGGUUCUGAUAUUGGUUGGGGACCCUGUAAAAACACAUGAGAAAUUAAUAAUGAUUCAGCUUCAACCUACUGGCCAGUCUGGGAAUCAGGAUCUGGUCGCUGCU